rnacentral:rRNA from 1 species
CCGGCGACGGGUGAGUAACACGUAUCCAACCUGCCGUCUACUCUUGGCCAGCCUUCUGAAAGGAAGAUUAAUCCAGGAUGGCAUCAUGAGUUCACAUGUCCGCAUGAUUAAAGGUAUUUUCCGGUAGACGAUGGGGAUGCGUUCCAUUAGAUAGUAGGCGGGGUAACGGCCCACCUAGUCAACGAUGGAUAGGGGUUCUGAGAGGAAGGUCCCCCACAUUGGAACUGAGACACGGUCCAA